CCUACGGGGGCAGCAGUGAGGAAUAUUGGUCAAUGGACGCAAGUCUGAACCAGCCAUACCGCGUGCAGGAAGACGGCUCUAUGAGUUGUAAACUGCUUUUGUACGAGGGUAAACGCAGAUACGCGUAUCUGUCUGAAAGUAUCGUACGAAUAAGGAUCGGCUAACUCCGUGCCAUCAGCCGCGGUAAUACUGAGGAUUCAAGCGUUAUCCGGAUUUAUUUGGUUUAAAGGGUGCGUAGGCGGUCGGAUAAGUUAGAGGUGAAAUACCGAGGCUCAACUUCGGAAUUGCCUCUGAUACUGGUCGGCUAGAGAGUAGUUGCGGUAGGCGGAAUGUAUGGUGUAGCGGUGAAAUGCUUAGAGAUCAUACAGAACACCGAUUGCGAAGGCAGCUUACCAAGCUACUUCUGACGUUGAGGCACGAAAGCGUGGGGAGCAAACAGGAUUAGAUACCCCAGUAGUC
rnacentral:rRNA from 1 species